AUGGCCACUCAGCAUAUUAUUUGAUAGAUCGAUCAGUUUUAAAGCUUGCAAAUUUCUCCAACAAUUAGGAAGUCCUCCUGACAGCUGAUUUUUUGAGAGAUCAAGAAGACUUAAACUCUCCAUCCUGCAUAAAGAAACUGGAAUGGUGCCAUUCAAAUGGUUGUUGCAGAUUAAUAAAAAUUCCAAAAGUGGCAUUCUCCUGCCAAUCAUCUCAGGAAUCUGGCCCUGAAGCAAGUUGUUGGAGAUAUCCAAU
rnacentral:misc_RNA from 1 species